rnacentral:rRNA from 1 species
AACGAACGCUGGCGGCAUGCCUAACACAUGCAAGUCGAACGAGACCUUCGGGUCUAGUGGCGCACGGGUGCGUAACGCGUGGGAACCUGCCCUAGGUUCGGAAUAACUCCCCGAAAGGGGUGCUAAUACCGGAUAAUGUCUUCGGACCAAAGAUUUAUCGCCUUUGGAUGGGCCCGCGUUGGAUUAGCUAGUUGGUAGGGUAAAAGCCUACCAAGGCGACGAGCCAUAGCUGGUGUGAGAGGGUGAUCAUCCACACUGGGACUGAGACACGGCCCAGACUCGAGGGGGAGGGGGGGGGGGGGAAAAAAGGGGAGGGGGCAAAAGCCAGAAACGCAAAGGGCGGGUGGGGGGAGAAGGGUUGGGGGUUGGAAAGCUCUUUUGACGGGGAGGAAAAUAAGAGAACGGGGAAAAAAGGCCCGGGUAAACACGGG